UACGAAGGGGGCUAGCGUUGUUCGGAUUUACUGGGCGUAAAGCGCACGUAGGCGGAUCGUUAAGACGGGGGUGAAAUCCUGGAGCUCAACUCCAGAACUGCCUUCGAUACUGGCGAUCUUGAGUCCGGAAGAGGUGAGUGGAACUCCUAGUGUAGAGGUGGAAUUCGUAGAUAUUAGGAAGAACACCAGUGGCGAAGGCGGCUCACUGGUCCGGUACUGACGCUGAGGUGCGAAAGCGUGGGGAGCAAACAGG
rnacentral:rRNA from 1 species